rnacentral:piRNA from 1 species
UGGGAUUACACGGGUCUCACACACAC